AACAGUCAACGAGAAAAUACAUGACAAUGAAAACCAUGAAAUUGGUGUUCGCCGUGGCCGUUUCGGUGGCGAUUAUAUUUAUGUCUGUUCCGUAUGCAGCAGCUGAACCGGAUGCGAACGCAGAUCCUUUGAAUCCGAAACUCCUAGGAUCCCUUGUGGGUCGUAAAUAAAAUAAACCAUGUCAGAAAAAAAAAAAGAGUAAACCAAUUAUGCACUUUUUGAGUCUGUUUCGUGUACGUAUAAUCGAAAUUAUGGAAAUAAAAAAUUCACCUUGCAAAUGAAGCUAGACUGUUGACUAAAGCAUGGUAACCUAAUAUCCAUGCACUUUUGACUCUACACAAUGUGGAAUCUUUUACUCAACGUGUGACAGCAAUUAUGGAAAUAAAAUGUUUACUUUGAAAAUUCA